rnacentral:guide_RNA from 1 species
AAAACCAUGAGAGUCAGAUGUAUAAGAUAACUGUGAUAA